rnacentral:pre_miRNA from 1 species
GACAUACUCUCUCUGUCCGGAAAUACUUGUCAUCAAAAUGGAUAAAAGGAGAUGUAUCUAGAUGUAUUUUAGUUCUAGAUACAUCUUUUUUUGUCCAUUUUGAUGGCAAGUAUUUUCGGACGGAGGGAGUACAAA